UGCAGUCGAGCGAAUGGAUUAAGAGCUUGCUCUUAUGAAGUUAGCGGCGGACGGGUGAGUAACACGUGGGUAACCUGCCCAUAAGACUGGGAUAACUCCGGGAAACCGGGGCUAAUACCGGAUAACAUUUUGAACCGCAUGGUUCGAAAUUGAAAGGCGGCUUCGGCUGUCACUUAUGGAUGGACCCGCGUCGCAUUAGCUAGUUGGUGAGGUAACGGCUCACCAAGGCAACGAUGCGUAGCCGACCUGAGAGGGUGAUCGGCCACACUGGGACUGAGACACGGCCCAGACUCCUACGGGAGGCAGCAGUAGGGAAUCUUCCGCAAUGGACGAAAGUCUGACGGAGCAACGCCGCGUGAGUGAUGAAGGCUUUCGGGUCGUAAAACUCUGUUGUUAGGGAAGAACAAGUGCUAGUUGAAUAAGCUGGCACCUUGACGGUACCUAACCAGAAAGCCACGGCUAACUACGUGCCAGCAGCCGCGGUAAUACGUAGGUGGCAAGCGUUAUCCGGAAUUAUUGGGCGUAAAGCGCGCGCAGGUGGUUUCUUAAGUCUGAUGUGAAAGCCCACGGCUCAACCGUGGAGGGUCAUUGGAAACUGGGAGACUUGAGUGCAGAAGAGGAAAGUGGAAUUCCAUGUGUAGCG
rnacentral:rRNA from 1 species